rnacentral:rRNA from 1 species
GAUAAGUGCUGAAAGCAUCUAAGCACGAAACUUGCCAAGAGAUGAGUUCUCCCAGAUUACAAAUCUGUAAGGGUUGUUUAAGACUAAGACGUAGAUAGGCAUGGUGUGUAAGCGGUGCGAGCCGUUGAGCUAACAUGUACUAAUUGCCCGAGAGGCUUAACUAU